rnacentral:rRNA from 1 species
ACGGGAAGAGCCCAAACCAACAAGCUUGCUUGUUGGGGUUGUAGGACACUCUAUACGGAGUUACAAAGGACGACAUUAGACGAAUCAUCUGGAAAGAUGAAUCAAAGAAGGUAAUAAUCCUGUAGUCGAAAAUGUUGUCUCUCUUGAGUGGAUCCUGAGUACGACGGAGCACGUGAAAUUCCGUCGGAAUCUGGGAGGACCAUCUCCUAAGGCUAAAUACUCUCUAGUGACCGAUAGUGAACCAGUACCGUGAGGGAAAGGUGAAAAGCACCCCGGAAGGGGAGUGAAAUAGAACCUGAAACCGUGUGCUUACAAGUAGUCAGAGCCCGUUAAUGGGUGAUGGCGUGCCUUUUGUAGAAUGAACCGGCGAGUUACGAUUUGAUGCAAGGUUAAGCAGUAAAUGUGGAGCCGUAGCGAAAGCGAGUCUGAAUAGGGCGUUUAGUAUUUGGUCGUA